rnacentral:rRNA from 1 species
AGGACGAACGCUGGCGGCGUGCUUAACACAUGCAAGUCGAGCGGUAAGGCCUUUCGGGGUACACGAGCGGCGAACGGGUGAGUAACACGUGGGUGAUCUGCCCUGCACUCUGGGAUAAGCCUGGGAAACUGGGUCUAAUACCGGAUAUGACCUGCUCUCGCAUGGGGGUGGGUGGAAAGAUUUAUCGGUGCAGGAUGGGCCCGCGGCCUAUCAGCUUGUUGGUGGGGUAAUGGCCUACCAAGGCGACGACGGGUAGCCGACCUGAGAGGGUGACCGGCCACGACUGGGACUGAGACACGGCCCAGACUCCUACGGGAGGCAGCAGUGGGAAUAUUGCACAAUGGGCGAAAGCCUGAUGCAGCGACGCCGCGUGAGGAUGAAGGCCUUGGGUUGUAAACCUCUUUCGAGCGAGGACGAAGCGCGAAGUGACGGUACUGACAGAAGAAGCGACCGCUAACUACGUGCCAGCGACGCCGC